AUUGAACGCUGGCGGCAUGCCUUACACAUGCAAGUCGAACGGCAGCACGGGAGCAAUCCUGGUGGCGAGUGGCGAACGGGUGAGUAAUAUAUCGGAACGUGCCCAGUCGUGGGGGAUAACGUAGCGAAAGCUACGCUAAUACCGCAUACGAUCUAUGGAUGAAAGCGGGGGGAUCGCAAGACCUCGCGCGAUUGGAGCGGCCGAUAUCAGAUUAGGUAGUUGGUGAGGUAAAGGCUCGCCAAGCCGACGAUCUGUAGCUGGUCUGAGAGGACGACCAGCCACACUGGGACUGAGACACGGCCCAGACUCCUACGGGAGGCAGCAGUGGGGAAUUUUGGACAAUGGGCGCAAGCCUGAUCCAGCAAUGCGCGUGCAGGAUGAAGGCCUCGGUUGGUAACGUAGUCUUUG
rnacentral:rRNA from 1 species